rnacentral:rRNA from 1 species
GACGAACGCUGGCGGCGUGCUUAACACAUGCAAGUCGAACGAUGAAGCCCAGCUUGCUAGGUGGAUUAGUGGCGAACGGGUGAGUAAUACGUGAGUAACCUACCUUUAACUCUGGGAUAAGCCCGGGAAACUGGGUCUAAUACCGGAUACGACCAAUCUCCGCAUGGGGUGUUGGUGGAAAGCGUUAUGUAGUGGUUAUAGAUGGGCUCACGGCCUAUCAGCUUGUUGGUGAGGUAACGGCUCACCAAGGCGACGACGGGUAGCCGGCCUGAGAGGGUGACCGGCCACACUGGGACUGAGACACGGCCCAGACUCCUACGGGAGGCAGCAGUGGGGAAUAUUGCACAAUGGGCGCAAGCCUGAUGCAGCGACGCCGCGUGAGGGAUGACGGCCUUCGGGUUGUAAACCUCUGUUAGCAGGGAAGAAGAGAGAUUGACGGUACCUGCAGAGAAAGCGCCGGCUAACUACGUG